rnacentral:rRNA from 1 species
UGCGCCUACGGGGGGCAGCAGUAGGGAAUCUUCCACAAUGGGCGAAAGCCUGAUGGAGCAACGCCGCGUGGGUGAAGAAGUAUUUCGGUAUGUAAAGCUCUAUCAGCAGGGAAGAAAAUGACGGUACCUGAGUAAGAAGCUCCGGCUAAAUACGUGCCAGCAGCCGCGGUAAUACGUAUGGAGCAAGCGUUAUCCGGAUUUACUGGGUGUAAAGGGAGCGCAGGCGGUCUGGCAAGUCUGAUGUGAAAUACCGGGGCUCAACUCCGGGACUGCAUUGGAAACUGUCAGACUGGAGUGUCGGAGAG